UCCUAAAUAUCAACCAUUUGAUUAGUAAUAUUAAGUAAAUUUCAAUUUUGAAUUCUACCUUCUUAUUUGAAUACCUACAAAUAAGGAAUCAAUUCAGCGUUUUUAUUGUAAUUUGAUAACUACCUUGGUAAUAUAUACAGUUUGUUUGACGUAUUGAAUUCAAUCCUAAUUAUCCCGUGUCUCUUUCACUGCACUGGACAUCGACAGUGCUGGAAACAUGUGAGUUUGAUUUUGUGUUCACCCAUCGUUGAUUUUGUUAUCUCCCGUCAACGUAUUAUCUACAGCCACAACUACUCACUCUGUUCUUCAUCCUUUACCAAUUGGAGGAUGAAAGGUGGAUCAACAAACAUCAUCCAAAGACCAUCUUCUUUGUUUUGUUGUCUUGAAAGGGAUAGAUCCUGAAUCUCAAUAUUUAAUUGUUGGAUGGAAAAAAGAGGAUGCUUUAAGUGUGGAUAGACGGAUCACAUAAGCAGAAAUUACAUAGAGACAAUGAAGUUGUGCUACAACCAUAACAAAUACGGACACUUCAAAUCAAAAUUUCCCCUAUUGGCUUGGCUGGCAAAACCGUUCAAGCUCCAGCUUCUGUUAUCCUCAUAAUCACUGCUCACAGAAGAACUUGCUUUCCAGCUUACCGUAGAGGAAUCAGUGACAACAUCGGACAUAAUUGCAAAUAUCUUUCUUGCUAACUCAGUAACUGCAUUAGUCUUGUUUGAUUCAGGAGUUUAUCAUUUCUUUUAAGAUGCAUGCCAAAUAUUAAAAAAAACAUCAUUUUAUAAGUUUUUCAAUCUUUAGUUAUUUAUUACAAUUUCUUAUCUGAAUUUCGUAAGUGGAUUUUGUUCUACAAAGCUCUUUUAUUCGUGUUAAGGGACAAUUUGGAUGUUUUGUUUGAUAAUUACAU